GUCUACGGCCAUACCACCCUGAACGCGCCCGAUCUCGUCUGAUCUCGGAAGCUAAGCAGGGUCGGGCCCGGUUAGUACUUGGAUGGGAGACGCCUGGGAAUACCGGGUGCUGUAGGCU
rnacentral:rRNA from 1 species